UACGAAGGGGGCUAGCGUUGUUCGGAAUCACUGGGCGUAAAGGGCGCGUAGGCGGCUUUUCAAGUCGGGGGUGAAAGCCUGUGGCUCAACCACAGAAUUGCCCUCGAUACUGUUAGGCUUGAGACCGGAAGAGGUGAGUGGAACUGCGAGUGUAGAGGUGAAAUUCGUAGAUAUUCGCAAGAACACCAGUGGCGAAGGCGGCUCACUGGUCCGGUUCUGACGCUGAGGCGCGAAAGCGUGGGGAGCAAACAGG
rnacentral:rRNA from 1 species